GUUAGAACCUGGACCUGCUGCUCAUCAGCUGAAAGUCACAUAAUUAAAUUAAGAAGUGACGAGGAACUGAGAGAGUCUGAAGGCAGCUCUGCUGGAGAAGAUGCUGACAGUCAACAUGUUACUGAGCGUCUUCUUCCAUCCAGGUGAUUAUUGUCCCGUUCCAGCGCUCAUUGUUAUCGUACCUGGGCAGAUCGAAGCACUGAGUGGAUCUUGUUUGCAAGUCCCAUGUAGCUUCAACUCCACAUCUAACCUUACACAAGCAACCUAUGCACUUUGGAAAUCUAAACAAAAAACUAUUUUCAACAGCAGAGAGUCAGUUAACUUAUAUCCACUGAAAAUUAUUGGAAACCUGGGUGAGAAAAACUGCACCACUCUGUUUCCUGAUUUAAACUCCAGUUAUACAGGAGAUUAUGUUCUCCGAAUUGAGAACAGGCCAUUCAAGGCAACAGCUUUUUGUCAUCCUCUUCAGAUAAGAGUAAGAGACUCUCAGUGGAGUCCCAGCCUUAACAUCUCUGGUGAUCUGGAGG